UCUUCAUUCAUAGCCUCCAAGCAUUAACAAUGCAGAAUUUAAAUACAGAAGCUUGAAUCAUUUAGGGUUACUAAAGAGACUGGGCUUAAACAAGAGCCCAUUCUGGAAACUUAAAGACAAACAUUAAGAUAAAUCAAUAUUUCACCACAAAGUCAGAAAGCCAAUUGGGUCUUUGUUUGAUACGUGUGGGCCUUUGGACCAUGAUAGGUUGUGGGCUCAUAUCAUCACUUAUCCCUCCAAGAGACACCUUGUCCUCAAGGUGUGUGGAAGCUUCGGUAGUGUGAAUCCCACGUGAGUGGGUAAUGCAACGGUCAGCCAGAGUGGGUGGAGGACAGCUGUCAUCUUUGGACGGCUGGAUCCGUGUUGGCGCCAAAAGAGGAGAUUGAAUGGAUGGUCCAGAUGUAUGCAGAGGAGAGAUGGGAAGUGGACCGUGGAGCGCUCCUUGAGACGCGUAGCGCAUUAAUGAAGGUGCAGGGCGUGGCAGGUUAUCCAAAGGUCCAGAAGCAUUGACCACAUCCAACGGUGUGAUAUUAAUGGGGUUUGCUGCCCGAGGUGAAGAGAGAGUAAUGGGUGGGAUAUUGGUUCCAGCAGUUCCCAAGUCAGAAGUACAUUCAUUGUACGUUCCAACCCCCACACAUUCUUUCGAAGGGUUCUCUGCCCAGCUUUCUUCCACCUUCUUUUUUUCUUCCACCGUGAAGCCUUUGUGCUUUAGAGAAGGCUCCCCACCGUGGGAAGUCUUUGUUACCACAAACUCGCGCCUCCCCUUUCUCCCAUUACCCGUGAUGACACCAAGGUUUGGGUCAUUGGUGACCUUGCUAUUAUCCUGAACUUGGGUUGCUGUCGGUGCUGAUGCUAUGGGACGUGAGUCUUGGAGCAAAUCGUCACGUGGGAGUUCAACAAGGUGAGACUCUGGAUCGCCAUGGAACCGUCGGAGCAAGGAGACAUGGAACACCGGGUGGAUGCGGACCGAAGGAGGAAGAUCGAGUUCGUAAGCCACGGGGCCAAUACGGCGUGUAACUCGGAAUGGACCGAAAAAUCUGCGGGAUAGUUUGUUAGAGCGACGACGGGCCACAGUGUGUUGUCUGUAUGGUUGGAGCCGGAGAAGGACCCACUCCCCUUCUACAAAGGUAACAUCUUUUCGCUUUAAAUCUGCUUGUGACUUCAUGCGUUGUUGAGCAUGAAGAAGAUUUUGUUUCAAGGUAACUAACAUUUCCGAUCUGGAUUGUAGUAGCUCAUGGAUCUGUGGGUGUGUGAUGGAACUUGGAAGAUAGUCCCGAAGAGUAGGUGGUGGUCGGCCGUAGAGCGCUUCAAAGGGGGUGAGCUUAAGUGAGGAAUGCAGAUUUGUAUUGUGCCAAUAUUCGGCCAAAGGAAGGUGGACAAACCAGCGGGUCGGGUGAGUCCCCGUGAAGCAACGAAGGUAUGUCUGUAAUCCCCUGUUCACAACCUCUGUUUGACCAUCGGAUUGAGGAUGGUAGGCAGUGCUAUAGCACAGGGAUGUCCCUAAGAGUUUGAAUAACUCUUUCCAGAAUCCACUAAGGAAAACUGGGUCCCUGUCCGAAACAAUACUCUUUGGUACACCAUGGAGUUUGCAGAUGUCGUUUAAAAAACGACGAGCUAAUGAUUCGGCCGAGAACCUAGUCGGCAGAGCAAUAAAGUGGCAAUACUUGGUGAGUCUAUCCACGAUAACCCAAAUCACCGUGUGACCAUGGGAAGGAGGUAAGUGGGUGAUAAAGUCCAUGGAUAUGUCUUCCCAUACCUUCUCUGGUAUUUUUAGUGGCUGUAAUAACCCAUGUGGUUUCUGUGGCAGGGACUUGUUCGAUUGGCAGGUGGCACAUUCACGGACCAGUUGCUUGACGUGCUUGGUAACCCCUGGCCAUGAACAGGAAGCUGUGAGUCUGGCCAAAGUUGGUCGCCAACCAGAGUGCCCAGCCAUCGGUGAUUCGUGAUACUCCUUCAUCAAGGUUAACCGAAGAUCAUCAACAUCAGGUAUGAAAAGUUUGUUUUGAUAGAAUAAGAACCCUUGUGAAAAUUGAAACUGAUCCGUGGCAUGCUGUUGUAUUACUGUUUGUCCAGGUGGUGUAGCAUAGAAGGAACGAAGUCGAUCCAAAAGUUGAGGUAUGGACGAAGUCACAGAGAAAAAUUGGGCGGAGUCAUCCGAAUGGCAUCGAGACAAAGCAUCAGCGACCCGAUUUGAGGUACCUGUUCGAUACCUAAUAUCAUAAGUGAACCCUAUCAAUUUUGUGGCCCAUUUCUGUUGUUCUGGUGUGUGGAAACCCUGAGUCAUCAGGUGUUUCAAACUCUGUUGAUCUGUGUAAAUGUUGAAUUUUCUGCCAAUUAAAUACUGACGCCACUUUUUUACAGACUCUGUUACGGCAAACAUCUCGCGGACAUAGGCUGAGGCAUGCUGCAUCCUUGGAGUCAUUUUCUUGCUGAAGAAAGCCAAAGGAUGGCCCCCUUGUGAAAGCACCGCGCCUAUAGCAACUGCUGAAGCAUCGGUUUCAACAUCGAAUGGCACGGCGAAGUCUGGAAGAUGGAGCACUGGAGUUGUAGACAUAGCUUCUUUUAAUUUUGUAAAGGCAUUGUGAGCCUCACUUGUCCAUGUAAAACAUUGUAAUUUUAAGAUGUCGGUGAGAGGAGCGGCGAGUGUGGCGUAGUUUUUGACAAACUUUCUGUAGAAACCGGUGAGUCCCAAGAAACCCCUGAGAGUCGUGUGAGAACGUGGCUGAGGCCAUUCCUGCAUUGCAUGGAUUUUGUCGGGAUCCGGUCUUACCACCCCGGCAGAAAUAAUAUGACCCAAAUAACUAACCGUAUCAACACCAAACAGACAUUUGGAGAUCUUGGCAUAAAACUGGUUAGUAACAAGUAGGUCCAAAAUAAUGCUCAGAUGUACAAGAUGAUCAGUUAAGUUAGAACUAUAAAUAAGGAUAUCAUCAAAGAAAACCAGAACAAACCUCCGCAAAUGGGGCCUCAAGAGGUCGUUCAUUGCUGCUUGAAAAGUGGACGGGGCAUUGGUUAGCCCAAACGGCAUAACAAGAAAUUCGUAGUGACCAUCAAAUGUGCGAAAGGCUGUUUUCGCUGUGUCACUAGGUUACACCCUGAUUUGGUGAUAUCCAUAUCGUAAGUCGAUCUUGGAAAAAAUGGUUGCUGCACCGAGCUCAUCCAACAACUCAUCAAUGGUGGGAAUCGGAAAGCGAUCACGAAUGGUGAUUGCAUUUAGAACCCGAUAAUCCACACAGAAUCUCCAUGUGCCAUCCUUUUUUUAACAAGUAAAACUGGUGAAGAGAAAGGGCUUGUGCUAGGUGUUAUAAUGUCGUCUUUUAACAUUUCUUGAAUCAUUGUAGUCAUGAUUUCCUUUUGUGAGUGAGGGUAACGGUAGGGUUUGACUGAGACAGGGGCUGAGUUGGGUAAGAGGGAAAUGGAAUGAUCGUGGGGGCGAAAGGGAGGUAGGCCUUGUGAUUUCUGAAAAAUUUUGUCAAAUUUGGUGAGGAGAGUUUGUAUGNNNNNNNNNNNNNNNNNNNNNNNNNNNNNNNNNNNNNNNNNNNNNNNNNNNNNNNNNNNNNNNNNNNNNNNNNNNNNNNNNNNNNNNNNNNNNNNNNNNNGGACGAUAAUGAGGAUGAGGGUAGGAAGUGGAUGAGGAGGAGGAUGAGGAUAGGAUGAGGACGAGAAUGAGGACGAGGAUAGGAGGAGGAGGAGGUUGAGCAUGAGGAUGAGGAUGAGGAAGAGGAUGAGGACGAGGAUAGGAUGAGGUUAGAAUGUGGAAGAGGAUAAGGAUGAGGAAGAGGAUGAGGAUGACGAUGACGAUGAGGAUAGGAUGUCGAAUAGGACGAGGAUGAGGAUAGGAUGAGGACGAGAAUGAGGAUGAGGAUAAGAUGNNNNNNNNNNNNNNNNNNNNNNNNNNNNNNNNNNNNNNNNNNNNNNNNNNNNNNNNNNNNNNNNNNNNNNNNNNNNNNNNNNNNNNNNNNNNNNNNNNNNAGAGUCUUUGAUCUUUGAUUCCACCAAUUUUGCAAGUCCCAAGGCAUCUGUUAUGUGAGAUGGGCGUAAUAUUGCUAGUUCGCGCCUUAUCUCAGGAAUAAGUCCCGACAAAAAACAAUUUAGGAUGACUUCGGGAGAUAAUCCCCAAAUUCGAUUGCACAAUUUUUCAAAAUGCUUCUGAUAUUCUUCCACAGACCCUGUUUGGCGGAGCUUAAACAACUCUGCUUGGUGGUUUUCAUAACAAGAGGGACCAAAACGACUCUCCAAGCACCUAGUAAAACUAUCCCAAUCAGUAAAUGUUGCAUUGUGAAAAGCCCAUUUGAACCAGCUCAGGGCAUCUCCCUUCAUAUAAAAUGAGAUAAUAUGAAUUCGCUGAUCUGGGGGAACUUGAUAAAGUAGGAAAAACUGCUCUGCUUGGAAUAACCAGUCUAGUGGUUCAGAUCCGUCAAAAGGAAUAAGCUGCAGCUUGGGUGGUCUAGGCUGUGUGGGUGAGAAGGGCAUUUGGGGAAAGUUGGGCCGUAGGUAGGGAUGAGGGGGUAUGAAAAAUGGGGAAACGGGGGUGUGUGUAUAGUUGGGAAACUGGUUGGGGGAAUGUUGUUGAGGUGGGGGAAUCGGAAUAUUAGGAUUGGGGUUGGCCUGAUUUGGUGUUAAAUUUGGGGGUAUGGAAAUAGUUGGGUGCGUGUGGGAAAUGUUUGAAGAUCCAGGUUGAUUUGGGGUUAGUUGAGGGGGUUCAGGGGAAACUGUGUUCAUACCUGCCAGUUUUUCUGUGAUAGAACGAAGAGCUUCAGCAAUGGUCUCAUGCCUGGAGUCUUGUUGCUCCUGGUUUUCUUUGAGUUUGUCUGCGAAGAGUUGUAAGAGAUUGUCAUCAAGAUCUUUGUUUGUAGUUUUAGGAGGCAUGAUAUCAGGAAUGAAAGCACCAAGUUGUUAGGAUCUUACUAACUAAUUACUAUAGCUGGAGAAAUUAAAGACAGACACAGAAAAUUUAAAUAGAAAAUAUCUUCAUUCAUAGCCUCCAAGCAUUAACAAUGCAGAAUUUAAAUACAGAAGCUUGAAUCAUUUAGGGUUACUAAAGAGACUGGGCUUAAACAAGAGCCCAUUCUGGAAACUUAAAGACAAACAUUAAGAUAAAUCAAUAUUUCACCACAAAGUCAGAAAGCCAAUUGGGUCUUUGUUUGAUACGUGUGGGCCUUUGGACCAUGAUAGGUUGUGGGCUCAUAUCACA
rnacentral:lncRNA from 1 species